rnacentral:rRNA from 1 species
AGUGAACGCUGGCGGUAGGCCUAACACAUGCAAGUCGAACGGCAGCACAGUAAGAGCUUGCUCUUACGGGUGGCGAGUGGCGGACGGGUGAGGAAUACAUAGGAAUCUACUUUUACGUGGGGGAUAACGUAGGGAAACUUACGCUAAUACCGCAUACGACCUACGGGUGAAAGCAGGGGAUCUUCGGACCUUGCGCGAUUGAAUGAGCCGAUGUCGGAUUAGCUAGUUGGCAGGGUAAAGGCCCACCAAGGCGACGAUCCGUAGCUGGUCUGAGAGGAUGAUCAGCCACACUGGAACUGAGACACGGUCCAGACUCCUACGGGAGGCAGCAGUGGGGAAUCUUGGACAAUGGGCGCAAGCCUGAUCCAGCCAUACCGCGUGGGUGAAGAAGGCCUUCGGGUUGUAAAGCCCUUUUGUUGGGAAAGAAAAGCAGCAGGUUAAUACCCCGCUGUUCUGACGGUACCCAAAGAAUAAGCACCGGCUAACUUCGUG